rnacentral:rRNA from 1 species
UACGAAGGGUGCAAGCGUUACUCGGAAUUACUGGGCGUAAAGCGUGCGUAGGUGGUCGUUUAAGUCUGUUGUGAAAGCCCUGGGCUCAACCUGGGAACUGCAGUGGAAACUGGACGACUAGAGUGUGGUAGAGGGUAGCGGAAUUCCCGGUGUAGCAGUGAAAUGCGUAGAGAUCGGGAGGAACAUCCAUGGCGAAGGCAGCUACCUGGACCAACACUGACACUGAGGCACGAAAGCGUGGGGAGCAAACAGGG